GAACCACUUCGUUGUCAUCACGUAUCGUAAUUAGCAAAGAGACGGCACGAGAAAGUGUAGGACAUUGCUACGAUGGGACGAACGACCACGAUGUAACAAUCGGUAAACCACAAGAUAGAAAGAUAGAUAGAAAGAUAGAAAGAAAGAGAGAGAAAGAGAGGGGAAGAGAAAGCUGGUACCUGGUAAAAAUACGAGACUACGAACAUUUUGUCACCAUUAAAUGAUCCCGAAGAAGAUGAACAUAUUUAAGAGAAAAAUCCUUUUCUAUCUAACGCCGAGUUAAGUGCCAAAUCGUAGAGAAAAUUUGUGUUAAAAAUUUUUCGGAAUUUCUUUACCGACGUACGUGAGAAUUUCAUUUUACCGAUCGAAAAUAAAAUCAAAUUUUAAUGUAAAAAAUUAUUAAAAAUGUUAUAAUAAAAUUUUUCAGCAAGAUAGAAACAGAUAUCGAAUUCGAAGAUUUAAUAUAAACAGAUAUAAUAAUAAAAUUUUUACGCAUUUAAAAAAAAAGGAAUGACAAAAAUAGAUAUGAUAAUACUGAGAUUGAGGAUUUAAUAUGAAAAAGAUAAUAUCAAUAAUAUCAAAAUAUUUCGUAUACUAAAACAAACAAUGGAUUGGAAUUAUAAAAACAUAGAAUACAAAAAUAUUAAAUUAAAAAAAAAAAAUGAUUACGGUAUUUACUAGUUUACACCUUUCAUGGCCUUCUCUCGCAUUUUCGGCGUUCGAUCAAUUGGAACGAAAUAAACUAGCGUGCAAAGUAGUUACCAGAAAAUCUAUUGAAAAAUUAAAAGAGAAAAAAGGAAAAGAAAUAUAUGAUUAGAAAGAGAACGGAGAAAGAUUUCAUAGUUUCGUUCGAUACGAAAAUAUGAAAUAAAGAUCUUCGAAAAAGAUCUUCUAGUGAAACGAUCUUCUUCUUCCUCAUUUUCUUUCCUUUCGAUCUCACGAAAUAAGAGACGACGAUGGAUGCGUAGUUCCGCUUUAAAAAAAAAUAAAAAAAACUCAUUAAAAACAUAUGUAUGCAUGUAAGAACGAACACAUCGUCGGGCGCGUUAACGAUCGCACUUUCUUUUUCGUAUGGUCGUUGAACUUUGAUCGUUAUUUGCGUUUGCACAGCUCGUUUCGCCGCACUUACUCGCAUGACUUACGAUGUAGUAAUUGGAGCUCUAAUUUAACCUCAAAAAAGAAAAAAAAAAAUUUAUAUUAAAAAAUGAAGGCAGAUACAAAUAAUAAGGAUUCGUAUCUUCCUAAAGAAAAGUCAAGCGAAUUACUCGGAAAAUGGAGAAACAAUGGCGAAGCUUUAGAACCGAAAUGGCGUGACGGUGAUGCUGUACCUUUGCUUCCAUUUUCUCACUUCGCACAAACCUAUACUCAAGAGGAAACCGAUUUAACAGGACAUGAUAAUCCCUAUGACGUAGUUUAUCGAGAUAAUCUUAAUUAUCGUCAACUCAACGAGAAUCAAGGAGGAAACGAUUACGUUGAUUCACGACAAGAAAGACGAUUUCCUCUUCCUAAAGAUUCGACGAUACGAUUGGAGGAAAGAAAAUAUGGAAGACAAUCGCGCGGGAAAAUUGAACAAGUACCGGUUGAACGUCCUUCGAAAGAUAAAUUUCUUAGAAACGAUCGAAUGACUUCAACUGGAUAUCGUGAUGCUUUUCAGGUUCAUCCAAAUGAGUAUGAACAUGAUUUAGCCGACGAAGAAUAUUUAAAACCUCGACCAAGAAAAAGACGUCCACCUCAGAACGAAGAAUUCAUUUUAAGUGCUAAAGAAACGAUGCAUAAUAACGAAAGAAUAAAAUUUGAUUCUAUUUUAUCAUCUAAUGAUAAAAAAGAUAAAGCAUCUUCAAAGAAAAUUGAAGCUAUAAAAUCUUUGUUAAAAAUGCAACAAGAAGAAGGUGUUAGUCUUUCAGAAAUAUUACAUCGUAAAAAUUUGACUCUGAUAGAUCUGUUAAAAGGUAAAGCAGAUGUGAUCAGCGCAUUAAAAAUGAAAGAUAUCGAUGAAAUUGGUGAUGAUAUCGAACAGAUAUCUUUGGCAAUGACGAGCACAUUGGCUAAAUUACCGUCCACGACCCAUCAAAGUAUACUUGACACGACGACGACUAAAACAAUUACCACGAUGGAUCAUGUGUCAACGAAAAUUUCACAAUUGAAAGAAACUACUACUGAAACUUUAGCAGCAAUUUCUCCAUCAGAAAUCUCUAUCGAUUUGAAUCAAAACGAUGAUAAGACGAAUCAAAAUCUAAAUACAACGCGCGAGAUCUACAGUGAUGAGAAUCAUGAUGAAAUCAUGGAAUUUUCAGAUUUUACAGAUUAUAAAAAAGGAAGGACUACUGCAUCACCAAUUUGGAUUUCUUUAAUAACAGAAAAUAAUGCUAUCGUUCGUUCUAUGCAAAAUAUUAAUCUAAAUCGUUCUGAUAGAGGUUCCACCUUGAGUAUCGUAAGAAUUUUGAAUCCGACUGUCGAGACAUUUACUACAAAAAAUUUGGAAAAAAACAAACCAUUUAAUAAAAUAUAUACUGAUACUAUACACAAGGAAGAUAAUUCUAAUUUAGCUGUAGCAGAAGAUCAUUUUGAUAGUAUUUCUGAAGCAGAUUAUCAAUAUGAUGCUCCUUUGAAUGAUAUGCGACAAGAUGACGAGAUACGUGUGUCCUCUUCGAUAAAAAAGAAUGAAUGCAUAAAUGAUAGCGAUAAAGAUGAAACUAUAUAUCUAGAAAAAGAUAAAGAUCGUUCAAAAGAUUUUUUAUCAAAAUCCAAAAACGAUUCAUCCUUCGAAGAAACAAUCAAAACUUUCUUCAAAAACCAUCCUAAUGUAGAAGAUGUGAUGUCAGAAGGUAAACGUUACGAAGAUAUCAUGUCAGAAAUAGAACCAGAAGCUCGUGCUGAGAUUUUUGAAUUAUUUGCUUCUGGAUCUGGGGGUAAGAAUCUGGAACGUUUGUUAAAGUCUAGGAACAUGACUUUGGAAGAACUGAUUGCUUUACGUCAAAGAGGCUCCAGUAAAGUUCAUUUAGCAGAAGUAUCUCGUUUGAGAAAUCAUAAAGCUUUAAGAAUAUCGGAAGAUAAUCAAUUAUCAGAGAAAAAGCAUCUUCAUAAUCUUGAAGAAAAAAGUAUCAUUGAUGAACCUCGAAAUGAAACGAUUGGAAUAAAGAAAUUGAUGAAUAAAACAGAACACAUUGAUAUUUCGCAGAUCCAUCCGAAACUUAUUAAGGAAAUGACAGAGUUUUCAUUUACCACAGAGAUUAGUUUUAAAACAAAAAAUUAUAGUAACGAAAAACAUGAAGAUCCAAAUCAUUUAAUAAAGAUCACAGAAUUAUUUAAUACUUUUACAUCUUUGUCGUUUGAUAAAGAUCAGGAACAACGAAUCUCUGAAAAUAUUGAAGAAACAUUAAAUAAAAAAACUAUAGACGAUGAAUCGAUUAAUAUUGUUCAAAGUGAUUAUGCGAAAGAAAUGAUUCAAAAUAAUACUGAAGUAGAUAUAAGUGUGAUAUACAAGGGAUCUAUAAACGAAGUGAAACACGAUGAUAAUGACGAAAAUGAAGAUCGGGGAAAAAGUUUAUCAAAGAUUAAAUCUAGUAUAAUAGCUAGUGGGGCUAUACUUGGUGUAACGAUAGUCGUAUUCUUUGCCAUCUUUGUAGCUUGUAGAAUACGUCAUAAACAAAAAUAUAGGUACAGAAACUCUUUUCCACGAACGGUAUUUCAAAGUCCAAUAGCAACAGCCAGAAAGUUGUCCAAUACAAGUAGUCUGAAUAAUAUAAUGGUGAGUGUAGUUGCCACUUCGACGACAAAGAGAUCAGAAAAAAAUGAUUCACAGCAAAAUACUGGUGACUAUGAUUCCAAGUGUGACAUCGAUAAUGAUUCGCUCGAUGCUAAUGAUAGUUGGGAAACUAUACCUGAUUAUAUAAAAUGAGACAACAUAGUUUCUUUUUAAUUGAAGUACGUACUUUCAUUUGAGAUUUAUUUGUGGUUAAAGACUUAAAACAAACAUGCAAACUGACACUGGACAAAGGCUGAUGUAAAAUUGAUGUAAACUUUUUAGUAUUUUUUUUUUUGUGCAAUGAUCAUAGAUAUUCGACAAAAAUUUAUACAAAAUACUUAUGAGCAGUAAAGCAAACUCAUAUUAGAUGUUUUCAAAAGAACGAAAACAUCAAGUUCAUUAAUAUGUUAUAAAUAUGAUCACGAUGUCAAUCUCAUCUCUUUUUGUUCUUUAGUUAUAAAUACAUGUAGACGUAAUGUAUUUAUUUAUGAUUUAGUAUGUAAUAUAAAAUAUUUUUGUAAAAAGAUCAGUCUGUAUAAUCACCCUUCUUAUGUCAGUACCAAAAUUUAAAUAAUAUAUCUAGAUAAUUUACUCACAUAUAAUCAUCAUAAGAAAAAAAAUCCCUGAGCAAGUUAGAUACUGCAUCGUUUCCAUUUUGAAAAACUCUAUUAAAAUAAGUGUAUUGUCGUGUAAUAUUUCUGACUUGUUUCAAAGCAGUUUCUGAAAAAAAAGAAACCAAUUUUAAAUAUAUUUUUAUGAAUAUUUCUUGUUUAAUCAGACAUUUUAUACAAAAAGAGUUUACCUAAUGUUAGACUGCCUUUAAGCUCCUUCAUUUCAAGCAGAUUCAUAUAGAGUACUGUAUUAUAACUAGUGGGAAGAAUAUCAAAAUAAGAUUUCCAUUUUGAAUUUUCUUUAUACUUUUCAACGAGCAAAGCAAUGGCUAAUGCCACUUGUGGCAUUUGUUGUAUCAAUGGAUCACGUUGAAAACUUUCUAACUCAGGGGCAGCUGUUUGAGUACUAAAUAUAAGUUUCCUAGGUAUUUCCAAAAUAAGUUCAUUCUCUAAAAAAUCACGUUCUGCCCUUAGACCUAAGUCGUAUCCUGUAAAUCCAACUAUACUUGCUCCAUCUACGUUAACAUCAUUCUCUUUCAGCCAGCUCAUGAAUUGUCCAACCCCCCGGGAUUGUUUUGAUAGCUUUGUCUUCAUCGGUUGUAAAUAACUAGUGUUGUAGGUAAUUAGUAUUAAACUUGGUGUGAUAUUCAUAUAAUAAUCCCAUAGCUGUGUGUCAUACGCAGGAUCGCAGCUCACUAAACAAAUUAAUUAAAAUAAAUAUUAUUAUUUCUCAUUACCAUAUAGUUUACAUAAGAUGUACAGAUCAUCAUUGUAUUAACUUCAAUAGUUUAUAAAAUUUUAUGAUUCACAAAUAAAUAAUAUAUAUAUAUAUUACGUAUAUAUGCAUAUAGAUAUAUAUGUUAAUGAAAGAAUAUUGUGUGUAAAUAAAUCAUUAUACUGUUGUUGUUAGAGAGAAAGAAAAGAUGAUUUAAAAGUUUGUAAUUUCAAAUAUUUUAGUUUUUAUAUCAAAAUAUAAUUUACCCCAGUUAUUGGACAAGAAAUUGCUUAAUCCGACGAUAAGUAUCGCAAACGUUGAUCCCCACCCUCGUGUGACCUGAUAAAGUAGACUAUCGCGAUAGAGUCGUACCACCAAAUUCAAAGUCAGACAAGGCUCGUGGUAUUUUACUCACUGUGAAAAACUUGGUCGCACAAAGCAUUGAGCUUUUUUCUCGCUUUCACCACCGACGUUUGUCUUUGAUGAUAGUUCUGCUUCGAAGAAGAAUGAGACUUCUUUUUGUUCAUCUUCGUUCUAUUUCAUAGCACCUUGUAAGAUCUCUUCGCAUUCAGACGCAUUAUAAUGCGUAAUCCGUGCACCCACUUUCGAGACCAUAACCUCGAAAUUUUCCAGCCGCAGCAAGAACACCAACGGCGGAGAUUUCUGAGAUAUCAUGGAGGGCUCUGUCGCACUAUAUUGAUUUUCAUUCCUACAAGAGUAAAUUAAUUUUUCUCGUUAAUUUUGGCGAUCAUUUUUUUUCAAUCUGCAUUCAUCUUAUCUUUUUUUUAUCUAUAUAGUAAAAAUGAUCAUAUCAUUCUAGAAGAUCGAAUUUCAUUAAUAUGGAUUGUCAACAAUCCAUAUCGUUUUUAGAAAUUAAAUGCAUUCGCCAUUUUUAGAUCCCAUCAUUUUAGUGUCUUGUUAUAUCACUCAGUUAAUUAUUUAUGAAGAAUGAUAACAAAGUGCACAAUAUUAAUUAACUAUCGAAAUCUUCAUGAGAUAUUUCGUAUUAACUUAUUGAUAGAUCAAAUCAAACGUACAAACGAAUCCAAAUGGUUAAUUCUUAUUCUUUGUUAAUCCUAUUGGACAAAGUUCUCUUUUAAGAUCUUCUUAUUUAUUUCUUAUAAAUGAAAUAAAACAUUGUAUAUCAGUGUAAGGAGAUUAUUUUUUUAUAUGGUAUAACUUGAAAUAACGUAUAUAAGGUUGUGCAGAUAAAUGUUCGAUAUUUCUUUUCAAUUUGUAUCUAAGAAAAUUUUCUAGAAAUAUACAGGUAUUGUUAUAGUAAUUAAAUAUUUACAUUAAGGGGUCUCCAAAUUAUUAAUCUUUUCAAAGUAUAAAUAUAUAUAUAUAUAUAUAUAUGUGUGUGUGUGUAUAUAACCAUAAUUAAAAGAUUCAUAGCAUUUUCUAUUGAAACUAUGCACCAUUUUACAUUAUAUAGUAAUUGAUAUUAAUAAAAAAAUAUUUAACAUCUCUAAAAAAAUGUAUACCUCUAAAAUCACAUGACGUGUUUUAAAUUAAAAUUCCUCAACGGAUUUAAACUUUCCAACUCAUGGAAUAUAUUAAAUUAUUUUUUUAUUUACAACAUUCCAAAAAAAAAAAAAAAAGAAAAAAAGAAAAAAAGAAAAAAAAAAGAAUAGGUAAAAAUAGCAUUGCAAUUAUGUUGAAUGAAUGUGAUAGAAGAAUACAGAAUAUUAAUUUUGUUACAUAUAUCUAUAAUUCUGUUUUGAUAAAAUCUUGAGCUCUAUUAUUUUUGUUUACAUAUAUGUCAAUUCACAAAAUUUUUCUUACAAAGAGGAGCAUAUAUAAAGAGCCCCCUUAAUGUUACUCAAUCAUUAAGAUUUCUGUAUAAUUAGACUGUUACAGUAAAACAGUAAUAAUUUGAAUUUUCACGCUGCAAAGCAAAACAAAUUCAUUGCAACAAAAAAUAACCGCAAUGAAUAAAACAACAAUGUAGCUGUAUUAAAAUAAUAAUCAAUAACAUUCAACUGCAAACCUUAUGCAUUAAUUUGUCUGUUUUAAGAACAAAAAGAGCAAGUUCUUAAAACAGUUAUACGCAAUAUUAUUUUGCAUAAAACAAAUAACACUAUGUUUCCUCGAGUUAUUUAAUACUAAGUACUGAUUAUAAAUUUAUUUUACUUAUAUUAUUUAUUUUUUUUUUGUUAUAAUAAAAGGAGAGAAAAAAAUAAAGAAAUAAUAGGACUGGAUAGAAUACCACAAUUUAUAAACGUAUUUAGAUAUUCAUUGGAAACUUAUAACUAUAUAAUUUGUACUGAGUACAGAUCAACCGCAAUAAGCUUCUUUUAUAUUAUUUAUAUUGCUUAUGCACAGUGCAGCGAAAUUAGAAUUAUAUUACACAUUCUACAAAAUUACUUGUCAAUUUCGCCAUAGCUUCUUUGCAGCGGAAAACUCGUAUCUUAACUACUAAAGAUACAAUUAUGAUAAUAAUAAUAAUAUAUAUACCAUUAUUUUAUACAACCUAAUUUCUAAAUAGAGCCUUACAGACCGACCACAAUGAUUAGAUUUGUCCUGCUACCCCAAAUAGAAAAUCAACAUUAUAUUAUAUACUUUGAAACGAUUUGCUUCUUUCGUAUGAUUUUAUAUUUUUUAACCGUUAUUAUAUUGAGAAUAGUCUUGCAGAUUCGUAGAAAUUAAAAAAUUUUCUACUCGCCAACUUUAAAUAAAAUUUCUUAAAACUGUACCGUCACUCUUUGGCUCCGAGUGUUCGUUUUCUUUAAAUGAUCGAUUUAAUAUUCAUGCAGAGCUUUAUGCAAAUUAACUUGGAUGACAUUAACACAGGUACACAUCACAGCACCUUUGAUAAGCUGUAAUUACUUUAACAUUCUUGUGCAGAUAAAAAGUGCGAUAUAUAACUGCAACCUAUAAAAGCCAGAAUUUGUCAUUUAAUUGUAAAAAUGUAUACAAGAGUACCAGUAUCACGUAAAAUUUUGAUUUAAUAAGAUAAAAUAUUACGUGAUAAGAAGGCCGUUCUUGUAUUCGUUUAUCACAAAAUCUUUAUCCAUGGCACUGUGCCUCUGAUAGCUGUACAAUGUACCAAACACGUUGCGAGAGAGAUAUUUGUUGAAGGCUAUAAAACUCACAUAAAUAUAUAAAUUAUUUCUCAUCCAAGUUAUAAACAUUGUAAUUGGUUGUGCAAACACUAUAGAGUCAAAUUUACAAAACUUUUAAACACAUACGCGUGUCAAGUAAUUUGUGUUUCUUUUACAUUUGUUCUUCUUACAUUUAUAUUUUCUUUGUUACACAUUUUAUAUCUUAUCUUUAUUUAUUGUGUAGUAGUAUCAGAAAUGCUCUGUCGCCAUGUGGCGUGGAAGGGUAUCUUUAGUAUUUUAACACGUGUCUUAGGUAAUGCAGUUAAAAGAAGUUUUUGAAGUUGUGGUAAUGGUAGAAUAUCGACUUGUGGACUCGUCAUAUUUAAUUGUUUAUCUUCACCUAUAAACAAAAUGAAAAUUUUAUUUGAUUUGAAUUAAUGUAUAUCUUAUCUAUCAAAAUUCAUACCAGUAACAUAAUGAAAUGAAAAUCUUCACAA